rnacentral:rRNA from 1 species
GCGCUUUUGGAGCGGCUGAUGUCUGAUUAGCUAGUUGGUGAGGUAAAGGCUUACCAAGGCGUCGAUCAGUAGCUGGUCUGAGAGGACGACCAGUCACACUGGGACUGAGACACGGCCCAGACUCCUACGGGAGGCAGCAGUGGGGAAUUUUGGACAAUGGGGGAAACCCUGAUCCAGCCAUGCCGCGUGAGUGAAGAAGGCCUUCGGGUUGUAAAGCUCUUUCAGCCGGAACGAAACGGUCACGGCUAAUACCCGUGACAACUGACGGUACCGGAAGAAGAAGCACCGGCUAACUACGUGCCAGCAGCCGCGGUAAUACGUAGGGUGCGAGCGUUAAUCGGAAUUACUGGGCGUAAAGCGUGCGCAGGCGGUUUUGUAAGUCAGAUGUGAAAUCC